rnacentral:rRNA from 1 species
AGCAGCCGCCGCGGUAAUACGUAGGUGGCAAGCGUUGUCCGGAAUUAUUGGGCGUAAAGGGCUCGCAGGCGGUUUCUUAAGUCUGAUGUGAAAGCCCCCGGCUCAACCGGGGAGGGUCAUUGGAAACUGGGAAACUUGAGUGCAGAAGAGGAGAGUGGAAUUCCACGUGUAGCGGUGAAAUGCGUAGAGAUGUGGAGGAACACCAGUGGCGAAGGCGACUCUCUGGUCUGUAACUGACGCUGAGGAGCGAAAGCGUGGGGAGCGAACGGGAUUAGAUACCCCAGUAGUCCCUGUCUCUUAUAC